rnacentral:lncRNA from 1 species
AUGCAUUUAAUGACCAAACGAUGACGAAGAACAUCGGUAUUGAGCUGCCAAAAUAGUGCAGCGAAUAGGACAGCAGCGAUGCGCAUUCAGGUGCAGUUUCGGGAUCAAAACAUUUGAUGCGUGUGGAACGUGUUCAUUGGCGGUCAUAUGGUGUAACUUUCAGGCUGAGAGUGCAAGGGCGGCUCUGAACUACAAACGGUUCAACGGUUAAAGCAUAAGUAUUGGGAUUGUUUCCAUUAAGGGCAAGUCCUGCAAAGACACAUGUCUGUCCACGUUUAGGUCGCCGUCUACCAUGAACCGACACCCUACAAUAGGUCCUAAAGGUGAACUCCAAACCUCUCUUGAAGGUUGGCAGCCAUUGAUGAUGUGAAGUGGUAUGCAGUGCAACACCCAUUUGGUCAAGGGGAAGACGUAUAUUCUUUGAAUGUUUCGAUGGUAUUGGUUUAGCAAUGAGUAGAAGUUGACCUAGGGGAAGACUGGUAGCUGGUCGAAUGAACCUAGCUAUUCUAUAUAAAGUUUCGUAGAGAUGAGCCAAGUAUAAUCGAAUAUGAAGUAUAUGAAAGGUUUGCCUGAAGUCUCAAUCGUAUUCCAGAGCAUAUAUCGAAUUUAAGCGGCCAAAUAAUGUCAUUCACUUUGCAUAGUUUUUUGACGGGCACGUUUUUGUCAAUGAGAAGGAUCCGAAAUAUCUUGAAUUCCUUCAGUUUGUUUCAAAGCCUGUUGAGAAUCUUCCAAGUGCAGAGAUACAAUUAGAAAGAAAGGAAGCCGAGCGAGCUGGCCAGAAUUAAGUUCUUUGUUGUUUUAACUGUUUGCUCAUUGAAUUUAAACUUGAUAUCAUCAAAUUACAGGUGCUGCUAAGGAGGCUCCUAUAGUCACACCUUUGAUGGAUUUUGUUUGGCUGAAAAAAGCUGCCAAGGGUAGGCCCCGAGUAGGAACUAUGCCUCGGAGCAUGUAGCUCAUUUUGUAUUAAGUUAUAGGGAGAAACAGUGGUUUCUCUGGGGUAGCCUUAGUCUAGCAAGGCGUUACAAGACACCAUCAUCACGGCAGAUGGCAUGGUUGGAUUGGCCGCGUAGCCGGGAACAAGGAUCUUUACUUGGGGACAUUCACGAAACGGACGCAGUGGUGAUCGUUCCCCCAAAGCAAAAUGCGUCAGAAUCGGAGGUGGAUGAUGGUUAUAUUGCGGUUGGUAAUGAUCAGCCUGGCAGACGUCGCUACUGCCGUUGUUGAGGACUUCCUAUAGGCGUGUACAGAAGUUCGUUCUGGUUUAUACGUGCUAAAAUUGCCAAUAUUGGUGGUCCAUGCUACAUGUACGGUGGUUUUCAGGAGCGCAAAGGGAAAAAAGACAUUCAAUCGUUCGUUCAAACAAUUGUAGGCAAAUUCGUUUCUUAUCUAUAUGAUCCACGUUUCUGUCUACAUCAUUCGAACACAAUUAAUUGAUAACGAGACUAGAAAGGUUUGAGACCAAUGUUGGAGUUGACCAAUGAUGAUAUACAACCCGUUUUGAUAAUAUGUACAAUUGUAAAUAUUUAUUAGAAUAAUUAAUAUAUACUUU